rnacentral:rRNA from 1 species
GAUGAACGCUAGCGGGAGGCUUAACACAUGCAAGUCGAGGGGCAGCAUAGGGUAGCAAUACUCUGAUGGCGACCGGCAAACGGGUGAGUAACGCGUAUGCAACCUACCCUGUACAGGGGGAUAACCCGGAGAAAUUCGGACUAAUAUCCCGUAAUAAUAUCCGGAGGCAUCUUUGGAUAUUUAAAGUUCCGACGGUACGGGAUGGGCAUGCGUAACAUUAGCUGGUUGGUAAGGUAACGGCUUACCAAGGCUAUGAUGUUUAGGGGUCCUGAGAGGGUGGUCCCCCACACUGGUACUGAGACACGGACCAGACUCCUACGGGAGGCAGCAGUGAGGAAUAUUGGUCAAUGGGCGCAAGCCUGAACCAGCCAUCCCGCGUGCAGGAAGACGGCCCUAUGGGUUGUAAACUGCUUUUCCAGGGAGAGAAACUUACGCACGUGUUGCGUGACUGACGGUACCCUGGGAAUAAGCAUCGGCUAACUCCGUUG